CAUGUUACUGCGGUCAAGCAUAUUGCAAAUGUGUGACGAACUUCUCUGCCAUGCCAUCUGCUUCUCCCUGACCCAUGCCAGGCACCUGACAAGAGCUUAUCUCAGGCUCUGA
rnacentral:lncRNA from 1 species